rnacentral:rRNA from 1 species
UACGUAGGUGGCAAGCGUUGUCCGGAAUCACUGGGCGUAAAGCGCGCGCAGGCGGCGAUCUACGUCUGGGGUGAAAGCCCGGAGCUCAACUCUGGGACUGCCUUGGAUACGGGAUCGCUUGAGGAUUGGAGAGGCAAGGGGAAUUCCACGUGUAGCGGUGAAAUGCGUAGAGAUGUGGAGGAACACCUGUGGCGAAGGCGCCUUGCUGGCCAAUUUCUGACGCUGAGGCGCGAAAGCGUGGGGAGCAAACAGG